GGCGGCCGCCGGACAUACAGCUGCCCGCCCCCCAUUGUCAGCCCUCGAGGCCGAUCACCGCGUGGCGCCCCGGCGCAGGCAGACAUUGGACGCGGGCCCAGAUCACGUAAUGUAAUCCCAGUCAUCACUGCCCCCAGUCUUCCUGACUGUCGCCUGCACAUCCUUCAGCAGGCCAUCAUGAGGAAAGCCCCUGGACAGCUCCCGUCUCAUCAAACAAGAUCGUGAGGGACUGCAGCCAAUGGCGCUGGCAUCUACACAGACAAAUGACCUUAAAUAAGUCAACAUAUGACUUUGGUGGUGCCCUUCUCUCUCAGAAAAAGAGGCAGUUAUUACAAUCAGCUCUAUGUUGAUUCAACAACGGGAGAUGGGCCAUUCACCUGCCGCCUGGAAGACAUGAGUGGAGAGCCAAGCAUGCAGUUGAGCUGAGGAUUUUCUAGAGCUGUCUAACUCCAAAGUGCUCACAGUAUUCAACCGGGACAUGGUGGUGCAGCUGUGAGGCCCUCCGCAGGGCUGUGAGUGUCUCAAGGGGGCCAAGACUCGCUUUGGUUCCCAGGUCUCAUCCCAGAACCUUCUAUUGGGCUCUGCCUAGAUUGCGCAUUCUUUCAGUGCGACCUCACUGCUAGCACCAGGGAUUGUAGACCAGCAACUGGUUGCUCAGAUGCACAUUAAAGUCAUCAGGAACCUUUAAGAACUACUAAUGUCCUGGCUCACCCUAGGGAGAUAAAUCAGCAUCUCUGGGGUGUGGCUGUACACUGCUAUUUCUUAGAAGCUCCUGUGUGGAUCUACAGCACAACCAGGAUUAACAUCUAGAGUGCCACACAGGGAGGACAUUGCUAGCAGAGUGUUCCUUAUUGGGUAGGGGAGGCAACGUCUUCCCAGCUCCUUCUCAAAGACCAGUGGACAGCCUCUGGAGGCCGUGCUCCCUGCCUCAUUUCCAAAGAUCUCCAGAAAAAAGCAUCUGCCCAGUGGGACUGGAAAUUCUGUUUCAGAGUAACCAUUCUCAAAUUUUUCUUCUGUUGCCACACAUGUGACGGAUACUAUUCAUAUGCAUGAACUGUUUGGCUGUGAUAGGCCAGGCCCAUUCCCAGCUGUAAUUCCAUUUAAGGAAGCCUCUUAAAACACAGGUUAGUGACAGGGACAUAAUUACAGGAACAAUCUGUGCUGUAUAUUUGUAUAAAAUAAUUUUCCAAUUAGGUACUUUACUGGUCAUUUACUAACAUACUUUUCUAAUGUCUAGUUUCUCCAGGCACUGGUCUAGGUGCUGGGCAUGACAUUGUUUUUAAAACACACUCACAACA